rnacentral:lncRNA from 1 species
CCGAUCGCCAGCGGCGCUGCAGGUUCUCCGGGAACCUAGCUUCUGCUCCAGGACCUCCAGGGCCACCCCAGCUCGCAGGGCGUUCGCAGCGGCUCAGGGCGAAUCACGCUCAUGGUCCCCGUGCGCAUUUUCAGCCCCAGCCGGGGAGGGACCCAGAGCUGGAGGCUUAGCCCUGGAGAUACCGGUGAAGAUGGAUGAAUGAGAAACCAGUUGGAGCUUCCAAGAGGCAGCUUCUUGAACAAAUACUUGAGGUCCUAUAUAGGUUUACGGGAGUAAACUGUUUUCUCCAAGCAGGCCUGUCGUCCAUCAGGAGAAGCAAAAGGUUUUAUUCUAGAGACAAGUCCUUCCAACUGUACAGCUGAUGGAGUGGCCAAGGAAACCUGGUCUUUCCAGAGACACAUAGAAGGUGCCAUCUAUGAGGAACAGGCCUUCACCAGACAUCAAAUCUGUUGGCAUCUUGAUCUUUGACUUCUCCACCGCCAGAACUAGAUCAAGACAUGAAAUCCAUGUUCAAGAUACUUUCCAGUGUGUCUUCAUGUGAUCCUCUGAGUCCAGCCAUCAGGCUACCAGCAGCUCUUGGAAACCCUGACAUACUUAUUCUUAGAAGACUGCUUUCCGGACUCAAAGUGGAACCUCAAAUUUUCAAUUUUCUUUGUUUUUAAAGCCUACACAUAGGUGAUGAUAUAUACAUGCAUAUAUAUUUUGGAGAAUUCAUAAUUCUGAAAACAAUGCUG